UGUAGGAGUGAGCCUGCUCGCGAUGGCGUUCUGUCAUCCACAUUGAUGUCGAAUGUGCCGCCGUCAUCGCGAGCAGGCUCACUCCUACA
rnacentral:misc_RNA from 1 species